rnacentral:sRNA from 1 species
ACUCAAUGGGUGUGCUGUUUCCUUGUC